rnacentral:rRNA from 1 species
CCUACGGGCGACAGCAGUGGGGAAUUUUGCGCAAUGCUCGUAAGAGUGACGCAGCGACGCCGCGUGAAUGACGAAGGCCUUCGGGUCGUAAAGUUCUUUCGACAGGGAAGAAAAUGCCUAUAAGUAACUGUGUAUGUAUUGACGGUACCUGUAUAAGCAGCCCCGGCUAACUCCGUGCCAGCAGCCGCGGUAAUACGGAGGGGGCGAGCGUUGUUCGGUGGGACUGGGCGUAAAGAGCACGUAGGCGGUGUUGUAAGUCAUUAGUCAAAGACUAGAGCUCAACUUUAGUAAGGCUAGUGAUACUAUAAUAAUAGAGUAUCAGAGAGGAUUGCAGAAUGCCUGGUGUAGCGGUGAAAUGCGGAGAUAUCAGGAGGAAUACCGUUAGCGAAGGCGGCAAUCUGGCUGGAAACUGACGCUGAGGUGCGAAAGCGUGGGUAGCAAACAGGAUUAGAUACCCGGGUAGUC